AUCAACGAAGUUCCUGAAGCUGACGAGGUCUCCUCAGCACUGAUGGAACAGGUUGAUGGUAUGAUACAAAAUCUUGAGAAAGAAAUUGAUGAUGUGGAUGUCAAGAUUGGCAAAGGUUGGCAGCUGCUUGACAGGGACCGAGACGGGAAGGUCACGCCAGAUGAAGUGGCCUCGCUGACG